GACGAACGCUGGCGGCGUGCUUAACACAUGCAAGUCGAACGGAAAGGCCCUGCUUUUGUGGGGUGCUCGAGUGGCGAACGGGUGAGUAACACGUGAGUAACCUGCCCUUGACUUUGGGAUAACUUCAGGAAACUGGGGCUAAUACCGGAUAGGAGCUCCUGCUGCAUGGUGGGGGUUGGAAAGUUUCGGCGGUUGGGGAUGGACUCGCGGCUUAUCAGCUUGUUGGUGGGGUAGUGGCUUACCAAGGCUUUGACGGGUAGCCGGCCUGAGAGGGUGACCGGCCACAUGGGGACUGAGGUAGGGCCCAGACUCGUACGGGGGGCAGCAGUGGGGAAUAUUGCACAAUGGGCGGAAGCCUGAUGCAGCAACGCCGCGUGCGGGAUGACGGCCUUCGGGGUGUAAACCGCUUUCGCCUGUGACGAAGCGUGAGUGACGGUAAUGGGUAAAGAAGCACCGGCUAACUACGUG
rnacentral:rRNA from 1 species